rnacentral:lncRNA from 1 species
AGUUCCUGCUAAAGUCAUCUCAGAACCACAGUCUCCAAAGAAAUUAAUUGUUGCAGAAAGAUAUUUCAGGGAAUGAACAGGAAAUGUUUGAAAAGCAGCAACUUAAGUUGAAAUGCCUGGUUUAUUUGGAAGCACGGUUCAAAGAAUGCUGUCCAUAUGGUGUAAAUCCUGGCACUGAGAAGCUGCUUAUUCAGUGCUCCACUAUUCAGGAACUAGAGGAAAGGAGGACGACCUUUCCAGUGAGUGAAAAAAAAAAAAAUGAUAUAAUGGAGAAAUUAGAGCAAUAUUGCAACUGCACUAGAGCUGCCAUUGCCAAAAGACAUGAGCACUUCCAUUAUGGACUAAUGCCAAAAUUGCACAUCGUAUAUUAGAAAUUAUGUCUGCUGAUACUUCUCCUUUCCACUGGCACUCACAUGUUCUUCCAUUGUACAUGAGGAACAAAAUCAAGCUUUUGUAACUAAAAGAACUUUUGGACAAUGCAAAUACAACUGUACAUAUGACUUCAGAGUCACUUUUCAAAUUGAACUUUUUUACAAACCAUGUGAUAGAUUUUUAUCCUAUUAGAAAGUAUGACUUUGAAAAGAGUCUUAAAUAUGUAUCUGUAAAGAAAUUAAACAAAGUUGUAAUACUUUAACAUAAAAGUCUGAAAAAUAUUAAAAGAGCCAAAA